rnacentral:rRNA from 1 species
CCCUUAGAUGUCCUGGGCCGCACGCGCGCUACACUGAUGCAUGCAACGAGUUUAUAACCUUGGCCUGAAAGGUCUGGGUAAUCUUUUGAACGUGCAUCGUGAUAGGGAUAGAUUAUUGCAAUUGUUAAUCUUGAACGAGGAAUUCCUAGUAAACGCGAGUCAUCAGCUCGCAUUGAUUACGUCCCUGCCCUUUGUACACACCGCCCGUCACACCUACCGAUUGAAUGGUUCGGUGAAGAUCUCGGACUUCGAUAUUUAUUCUUUAUUGAGUUUAUAUUGUGGGAAGUUAUCUAAACCUCAUCAUUUAGAGGAAGGUGAAGUCGUAACA